rnacentral:rRNA from 13 species
GGCAGCGGCCAUAGCGGUGGGGCGACACCCGUACCCAUUCCGAACACGGAAGUUAAGCCCACCAGCGUACCGGGAAGUACUGGAGUGAGCGAUCCUCUGGGAAGCGGGGUUCGCCGCCUGCCC